GUUCUAAUCAAAAUUGAACAGAGAGUAGCUCUAUCAUUCUAGAGUAGAUAAAUAAGCUUAAGCAAUUAGAAAAUCAAAUGUAUUUGGUUUUGUUUGUAAAGCAAGGUUUAUCUCAUAUUUGUUUGGAAAUACUGAGCAUGCUAUAUUAGUAAACUGAGAAUUCACUAAAUAGUGGAUUUAGGAGAAUAUAUCUUGGUUAUUUAAAGGUAUGAUGACAUAGAUGAAAUAAGGAAUAUAAAGCUACGAUGAUACCAUAUUCUUGUAAUAAAAAUGAAGUAAACCAAUAUACUUGGAGUUGGAUGAAGAAGGUAGAGGUCUUAGUUAAGAACCCCUAUGCAAUCAUUCUUAAUUGCUGUGGUAAUCAAUCUUCUUCAUGUUAAUGACAUUAUAGCAACAAAAUCCAUAGGCAAAUGAAAUAAGUACUAACCAGGGACUGAGCAAAGCAAGGUCAUAGUACCUCUACCCAGUAGAAGGGAUCAGGAUAGAGUUUAGCUAGAUUUUGAAUAGAGUUUUUAAAGAGUGGGAGAUCAUAUAGCCAAAAAUGUGGGUGGUAUAUAAAUGGGAUUUACCAAGCCUCUGUACAGGAGUAGCACAUGUGGGCACUAUGUUUGCUUGCUGAUUUUCUCGCUGAUACAGCUAUGAGCAUUGCAAAUAAUCCAGUGUAUAUGAACCCAUAUUGUUUCUUUUGGUCUAUCUUUUGCCAUAAGGCUAGAGAAAAACCAGAAGCAGGGUCCCUUUUCAUGCCUGCUACUGUGGAGUUGAACAUAUAAGAGCUCUCUUGGGUUGAUUAAGUUUACAAAUAAGCUCUUCCUGUUUUGAAUCUGUGUUAAGAAAGUAACCUUCUAAUUAUUACUUGAGUACCCAUAUAGCUUGAAUUUAGGAAAAAACACAUUGGCCAGAGGACUUGAACAUCCAGAUCACUUGCCAAAUGUGUUGUGCAGUGUGAAUGAGCCAACUAUUGUGGCCUGAUCAUCAGUGUCAAUGAGAUCAGCUGAGUCGAAUCUGUAUUUUCAAGGCCAAUUUACUUGGAAAUGCUCAUGAAUUAGGUUUCUGUGCUCUGGGUCAUGCACUGUGGCAAGUCAACCAGACUGAAUUUUCUGUAGUUCUUCAAAGAUAACAGGCCUACACAUGACAUGAUGCCUAUGCUCAUGUUGCACCUUUAUAUUUCUCUUGACAAACGCCUAUUGAUGCCUCAAAGCCCAGAUCAAAUAUCAGCUCUGUGAAGCCUCUUGCGACUUCCCAAAUAUGGUCAUAGCCAUUUCCACUCCACUAUCUGUGUUCCCACAGAGUACUGUUCAUACCACUGGUAAAGCAAGAAUACAACCUCCUUAAUAAGGCUGUGUUAUUGGGUGUCAGGCCACCUGGGUUUGAUGCCCUGAACCACUCACCUGGCCAAGCUAUUUAGACUUUUGAUGCUUUUUGUUUCCUUCUCUAUAAAAGAGGGAUAUGAUAGUAACCUGCUGCACAGAUUGUUGGGGAAAUUCAACGAGUUAAGUCAUGAAAAUGAUUAGCACAGUGUUGGCCAUAUACCAAGUGAUUCAGUAGUAUUUAUUUAGUAAUUUUUAUUAUUUCUGUAAUUUUAACUACUUACAUGUUUAACUUCUACAUCUCAUUGUAAGCUCCUCCAGUGCAAAGACUAUGUUAUUCCUCAGUGUUACCAGCACUUAUAACAGUGCCUGGUUUAUGCAGGCCAAAUCAAAAUUUACCUUUCCAGUAAGAAACAACCACAGUUUUGACAUAAUUUCAAGGUAUAAUCAAAACCACCAAAAUAACAUCUCAAACUCUGGUAUACUUUUAUCAGGUAUUGCCAAGGGCUUUGGCUAUUACUUUCAUGUUAAUACACAAAUACCUACUAUUCCUUGAUGAUAUCAUUUAUUAUCAACAUUUCAAUUACCAUCUAUAUGUGGAAAAUGCUCAAAUCUAAACCUCCAUCCCUGUAUUCUCUCCUAAGACAUAGACCAAUAUAUUCAGUUUGUCAUCUAGACAUCUCUGCUUGGAUGUCCUAUGGGUAUCCAAAAUUUCAUAGGUCUUAAACUAACCUUAUUUUAUCCCCAAAUCUUCCCUGCAGAUGAUCCCCGUUUUAGGAAAUUACAUCAUCAUCCUCAGUUGCUCAGAGCAGGAAUCUGGGAAUGAAGUCUGACUUUUCCUUAUCUUCUCCAACCAUUCUCCCAUCCCCAUCCAAUCAGUCAUGUUUCUAUUCCCUUUCUACCUCCUAAACAUGUUUUUAAUCCAUCUUCUAUUCCCACUGUCAUACUCUUGUCCAAGCCACCAUUAUCUCUCAUAUAUCACUACUCCUGGCCUUUUCCCAAUCCACACGACAGGCAGAACAAAUUUUCUAAAAAUGCAUAUUUCUUCAAACUGGUGCCCAUUACUCUUCUGGCUCAUAUGGUCCUUCCUAGUGUGGUGUCUGCCUCUCUGUGGUCUCACCCCUUGACUCUCUCCAUGAGGUCUCUGUAGCUUGGUCUGCUAGGUUUCCUUGAACUCACCCUGCUCUCUGUCCACUCCAACUGUCCCUCUAUAGAGAAUGUUUUUUUUCCUGCCCUCUUUCCUGGCUAAGUCAUACUCAUUUUGCAAAUCUAAAUUCAGAAGUCCAUUCUCCAGGGAGGUUUACUCAAUUGCCAGCUUAGGCUGUGCUUAUUUGCUAUAUAUUUCCAUAGCAUUAUGCACUCUUCCCAUAACAUUUAUCACUUAUAGUUUCUUAUUCAAAGCUGAGUCCUCAGUAUAGGGCUUUGCAUGAUGUAGGUACUCAAUUAAAAAGAUACAUAUAAUAUUACAUUAUAUAUAAUUGUAUUAUAAUAUAUUGUGUUAAUUUUUGAUUGCUUGAAUUUCUAAACCUAUAACUCACCUAUUCUUUCAAAUGUUUUAACUUACAAAAAACGUCAGCACUUUGUUUUUAUUAUAUUUGCUAUAUUACUUAAACAAGUCUAUCUAAUUCUACAUUAUAGAAUUAGAAUUCUAUAUUUUAUUUGCUAUAUUGCUUAAACAAGUCUAUCUAAUUCUAUAUCUUAAUUCACUGCAAUGAAAAAUAACAUCUAAACCAAAUAAAAAUGACAUAAUAUUUUCUUACUAAGCAGAGUUUUGUGGUAAUAAAUAUUAAUGGGUAAUGUAACAUCUGCUAUCAAAGUAACAAAUUUUUUUGAAACAGUAUUUUUUUUUGUAGGAGAGGUCUCUAGUGUAAAAUCUGUAUAUAUAUUCUAAAAUAUUGUAUUAAAAUAUGACUAAAUGAAAUACUAAAAAUUUUACAUUACAGAAAAUCUAUUUACUGGCUUUAUAACAAGACUAUCAACUUAUUCGUCAAUGGAUGUAACUUAUUUUACCUUACUCUACCACAGAAGGCAAGAUAACUCUGAGGAGAAGUGAAAGGAAAUAAAAGAAGAUUUAAAAAAGAAAGAAAGGACCUUGAUUUGGGGGGCAGGGCCAUGCUUCAAACCAGAAGAGAAAAGGGAAAAUGCUUAUAAAUUAAAAGUAAUUUAAGUACAAAGAAAAAAAACAAAGGAAGUAAACCUAACUUUACCAUUCUCAGCCAAGAUGGUAAAAAGCCUUUAUAUAGACUCAUGAAUCCUUCACCUUGAACAGCCUGAAUCAAGCAGUCAGUCGAUGAUUUAUACAAAAGUCCCCUAAAAAGGAAACAAGAUCCUUUUAAUUUUUUUCUGUGUAAAAAAAUAUAUAUGUACAUAAAAAUUGUCUAAGGAAUCUUAUAAAAAUUAAAUAUUGGCCGGGCGCGGUGGCUUACGCCUGUAAUCCCAGCACUUUGGGAGGCCGAGGCAGGCAGAUCAUGAGGUCAGGAGAUGGAGGUCAUCCUGGCUAACACGGUGAAACCCCAUCUCUACUAAAAAAAUUAGUCGGGCAUGGUGGCAGGCGCCUGUAGUCCCAGCUACUCAGAAGGCUGAGGCAGGAGGAUGGCUUGAACCUGGGAGGCGGAGCUUGCAGUGAGCGGGAGAUCACGCCACUGCACUCCAGCCUGAGAGACAGAGUGAGACUCUGUCUCAAAAAAAAUAAAUAAAUAAAUAAAAUUUCUGCUAGUUUAGAAAAAUAUUUGUGGUUCUACAGAUACAGAAAACUUGUUUUGAUCUUAAAGAUAUUUUCAAGGUUAACUCUUCUGAUUCAUGCCACCCUUGGUCUUAUAUUUAGAAUUCAUUCUAUCUUUUCUCUUCCAGGGAGAACAUACUAUUUCAUAUCAAAUCAGAUUCUCCACGUUACCUACUCAAGUCAUAAGCGUCUGAAGAAAGUGCUCUGUAAAUUCUCAGCAGAAUAUGCUUUUAACAAUUCUUUAAAAACAAUAAAGUCAUAAUAAAAAUCUUGUGUCUAAAUAAUAUGAUUGUUAAUUAGCUUAUCUCCCCAAAUGCAUGUCACUUUUUCAUCAAAGAGCAGGUAAUUGCAUAAAAAAAAUGCGCUCAAUUUUCUCA
rnacentral:lncRNA from 1 species